UAAAUGGUCGCAGAUGUGAAUCGAAAGGUUGCAUCUGAGGAAAGUCCGGGCCCCAUAGAGCAAAGAUGCUUGAUAACGUCAAGUGAGGGUAACCUUAAGGAAAGUGCAACAGAAAAUAACCGCCUCUUCUGAGGUAAGGGUGAAAAGGCGAGGCAAGAGCUCACCGUAAGAAUAGUGAUAUUCUUAGCCGUGUAAACCCCAUCUGGAGCAACACCGAGACUAGGAGGAUAAGACUGCUCGUCAUCUCCUUAAUUUGGUGGCAUGAGCCAAGUAGCAAUAUUUGGCCUAGAUAAAUGGCCAUUCUCGACAGAACCCGGCUUAUAGAUUUGCU
rnacentral:RNase_P_RNA from 1 species